rnacentral:lncRNA from 1 species
CAAAAGAGGGUUUUAACCAUUUUAAAUCUAUUAAAAUGAUGUAGGAUGACUUUAAUAAAAGAGAGAAAAAAUUAGAAGGGUGUAGGUUGACUUUAAUAAGAAAGAGAAAAAGUUAAAGGGGUGCAGAAUCACUUUAUGAAGAAAGAGAAAAUAUUAAAAUAAUAUUAAUUAAGGUUAAAAUGGUAAUUUUUGGAGGUGCGGGAUGAAAGCUUGGAGGUGGAGGAUGAAACACCUAUACACCAAUACAUGCACUUUCAUUUUCAUUCGGUACUGACAUUGUAAUUUAAUUCGGUGGAUUUUCAUUUGAUUUUAAUUAAUUUUUAACGUAUACAAAUACUUAAUUUAUUUUAUUUUCUUUGAUUGUUUAAAGAGAGAAACUAAAGGAACUGAAACUUUCUUUUAAAUGGAUUGAAAAUGACAAACUUGGUUGGGUUGGGUUGAUAUUGUAAUU